CAUCUUAUGAUAGUUUAGGUUGGCUGUAUAUGCAGCCUCCAUGUUUUUCUGUAUGUUUAAAAGACACUGACAUUUGUUCUUCCGCCCACUAUGUAGUGAUUCGUUCUACUGGAGUCCAGUUUGCUCUAGCAAAGUUUGCUACUGCACGUGUUAUAUUGUAACUAUAAUAGACAUUUCAUAUUAUGCAGAGACCCUCGAUAUGCAACUCAAGUGUUCAGUAUCCCAAUAUCUGCUCAGGAACAAGAACUAUAUUCUUAAUUCAACAGCUAAGGGGAAACAACCUGGGUGUGAGAUGGCUGGUUAAAAAUCAACAAUUAUGGAACAAGAAAUAAAAUAGGACAAAUUAAAUCUAACGUUGCUAUUGUAACAUGUCCUGCUGAACAGGACUGUAGCCUACUGAACAUUAUACACUACACAUGACUGCAAUCUGAUUGAAAGCAAAAAGCAGUUUCAAACUUACUUCUGCUGUCUGAAUUCAAGAUGCUCGAUUUCAUUCAGUAUGCUGUUUUGUGAACUUACAUUAGAUUCAGGUUACAAAAAAGUUAAUGAGCUGAUGAAAUAUAAUUACACUGGUACCCAUAUUUAAGGUUUUCCUCAUUUAACAUCCAAUUUCAAUGAUCCCAAGUAAAUAAGCCCAAUGUUAAAUUAUCUCCAUUUAACGUUUUGUGCAGAUUAUUGUCUAAAGAUACUCAUUUAAAAAGAAAACUUAAGUGUGCAGGUUUCAAUGUAUACAUAACUGUGUAGCAAUAACAUGUGCUUCUAUUCUGCCUUGCUCCCAAACAUGUGCAAUAAUGCCAGAAAAUCAAUGGGCAAAUACCCAUUUCUGGCCAGCAGUUCAA